GUGCCAGCAGCCGCGGUAAAACGUAGGGGACAAGCGUUAUCCGGAUUUACUGGGCGUAAAGCGCCCGUAGGCGGCCUGAUAAGUUGGACGUGAAAGCUCCCGGCUUAACUGGGAGAGGCCGUUCAAAACUGUGAGGCUAGAGUGAGGCAGAGGAGCGCGGAAUUCCCGGUGUAGUGGUGGAAUGCGUAGAGAUCGGGAGGAACACCAGUGGCGAAAGCGGCGCUCUGGGCCUAAACUGACGCUGAGGGGCGAAAGCGUGGGGAGCGAACGGGAUUAGAUACCCUUGUAGUCC
rnacentral:rRNA from 1 species